GGGGAUAAAGAGGAAAAGAGGGAGGUUACCAUGGCAGCCGGCAGGAAGGAGAAGGCCCAGCGGCGGGAGGACCAAGUCCGGGAUCCCAGGGGGCCACCACCUGUGAAUCCCGACUCACAGCCCCAGAGGCCACCGCAUCGCAGGGGCACCGUCCACACCUCAGGCUACACAUCUAUGAGAGCGCCGUCUCUCACUGUCCCUAACGGGGCUGGUGCAUCCCACGGCUCUCCAGCAGUGGUGUGGGGCGUUCUCCAGUGUGAACACGGUAGCACCCUGUGGGCCUGCAUUAGCAGUGGCUGGUACCAUCAGUCUGUCCUAUGACUGGGUAAGAGAGGAGCCGAAUGGGUCCCCUUUGCCAAGGCCUCAAGGUCACCACGUGAAUGGCCAAACCACACAGGUUCUAAGCAAAUCUAAACACACAAGACCGAGCAGGCAGGGUAGCAGCUUUCCCUUUGGGCGCACUAACUGUACCCGGGCGCGUGAGCAUUCAUAGCAUGCCGGCAAAGGGCAGAGAGACGCUGGAAGAAGGCCUGUGGGUCUCACGAGCGUUCCCGGAAAGCAGCUACCGGACUUGCUGUCCUCCCCGCCGGGUGCUCCCUGGCCUGGCUCAGCCUGGUGUUAGCUCCUGCUAGCCUCCCCAUGCCAGGCUCUCUGUUCCAUCUGCUCCUUGCCGUUGCCCCUGCUGCCCUGUCAGCUGGGAUGCCCACACUGGCUCCUCAGCUCUAUGCCUCGUCUUCAGAGACACUGUCUCCAGACACCGUUUCCUACAGUGGCCUCCGUCUGUUUACUCAAUGCUGAGGACAGUUUCCCCGAAGACGCCGAAGGCCCAGGAAGGCAGGGCCCGCUGGUGGGUAAGAACGCUGGCCCGGACCGCCUUCAGGAGCCAGCCCGACUCCACUUUAUUUUACAGAAAAGGGGAAUCUCUGACCAUUAUUGGUGACACACCCACCAAACUGAGGUUUUGACAUUUGUCUGGAAGCCACUAAACCAUAUUGCACCCCUUUAGCCCCCCUGGUCCUGACCCUCCCUGGUCUUGACGGGCAAAGCAGAUCUGCCCUGAAAUUUGAAUGAGGAAGAAAGGAAGGGCCUAAUAUUUCCCGCCCCAUCCACCCCACGACGCCACGCCCAGGGGUAGGUGCCCACCCUGCGUUGGAGUUUCCAAUGACGUUUCCUCCCCUAUUUGGGGGUAACUUCUGAGAAGGUGGAAAUUUGGGCCUCCAUGGGGCCUGCCUUACCCGAGUGGCCCUUAAUUAACGCUCCCUGAAUGGAAGAGGCUGGAGCAGCUUGGAAUGAGGAAGAAGAAUAAAAAAAA